rnacentral:rRNA from 1 species
CUACGGGUUGCAGCAGUGGGGAAUAUUGCACAAUGGGGGGAACCCUGAUGCAGCAACGCCGCGUGGAGGAUGACGCAUUUCGGUGUGUAAACUCCUUUUAUAUGUCAAGAAAAUAACGGUAGCAUAUGAAUAAGCACCGGCUAACUCCGUGCCAGCAGCCGCGGUAAUACGGAGGGUGCAAGCGUUACUCGGAAUCACUGGGCGUAAAGGACGCGUAGGCGGGUUGGAAAGUCAGGUGUGAAAUCCUACAGCUUAACUGUAGAACUGCACUUGAAACUUCUAAUCUAGAGUAUGGGAGGGGGAGAUGGAAUUAGUGGUGUAGGGGUAAAAUCCGUAGAUAUCACUAGGAAUACCUAAAGCGAAGGCGAUCUCCUGGAACAUUACUGACGCUAAGGCGUGAAAGCGUGGGGAGCAAACAGGAUUAGAUACCCGCGUAGUC